rnacentral:rRNA from 1 species
AGAGUUUGAUCCUGGCUCAGAACGAACGCUGGCGGCGUGCUUAACACAUGCAAGUCGAACGGGAUCCAGAGCUUGCUCUGGUGAGAGUGGCGCACGGGUGAGUAACGCGUGGAUAACCUGCCCUGGUAUCCGGAAUAACAUCUCGAAAGGGGUGCUAAUACCGGAUAAGCCUACGGAGCCUUCGGUCUCUGCAGGAAAAGGUGGCCUCUAUUUAUAAGCUACCGUAUCAGGAUGGGUCCGCGUACCAUUAGCUAGUUGGUGGGGUAAUGGCCUACCAAGGCGACGAUGGUUAGCUGGUCUGAGAGGAUGAUCAGCCACACUGGAACUGAGACACGGUCCAGACUCCUACGGGAGGCAGCAGUGGGGAAUUUUGCGCAAUGGGGGAAACCCUGACGCAGCAACGCCGCGUGAGUGAUGAAGGCUUUCGGGUCGUAAAGCUCUGUCAGAGGGGAAGAAAUGAGAUUGGCUAAUAUCCGAUUUUCUUGACGGUACCCUCAAAGGAAGCACCGGCUAACUCCGUGCCAGCCGCCGCGGUAAUUC